rnacentral:rRNA from 1 species
UAGGGAAUCUUCCGCAAUGGGCGAAAGCUUGACGGAGCAACGCCGCGUGAGUGAUGAAGGUCUUCGGAUCGUAAAACUCUGUUAUUAGGGAAGAACAAAUGUGUAAGUAACUAUGCACGUCUUGACGGUACCUAAUCAGAAAGCCACGGCUAACUACGUGCCAGCAGCCGCGGUAAUACGUAGGUCCCGAGCGUUGUCCGGAUUUAUUGGGCGUAAAGCGAGCGCAGGCGGUCAAUUAAGUCUGAUGUGAAAGCCCCCGGCUCAACCGGGGAGGGUCAUUGGAAACUGGUUGACUUGAGUGCAGAAGAGGAGAGUGGAAUUCCAUGUGUAGCGGUGAAAUGCGUAGAUAUAUGGAGGAACACCAGUGGCGAAGGCGACUCUCUGGUCUGUAACUGACGCUGAGGUUCGAAAGCGUGGGUAGCAAACAGG